rnacentral:rRNA from 1 species
UACGUAGGGGGCGAGCGUUGUCCGGAAUCAUUGGGCGUAAAGCGCGUGUAGGCGGUCCGGUAAGUCCGCUGUGAAAGUCGGGGGCUCAACCCUCGGAUGCCGGUGGAUACUGUCGGGCUUGAGUACGGAAGAGGAGAGUGGAAUUCCUGGUGUAGCGGUGAAAUGCGCAGAUAUCAGGAAGAACACCUAUGGCGAAGGCAGCUCUCUGGGACGGUACUGACGCUGAGACGCGAAAGCGUGGGGAGCGAACAGG